GCCGGCGUGGCGGAAUUGGCAGACGCGCUGGACUCAAAAUCCAGUGCCCUCACGGGCGUGUCGGUUCGAGCCCGACCGCCGGUA
rnacentral:tRNA from 2 species